rnacentral:rRNA from 1 species
UGGGGAAUAUUGCACAAUGGGCGCAAGCCUGAUGCAGCCAUGCCGCGUGUAUGAAGAAGGCCUUCGGGUUGUAAAGUACUUUCAGCGGGGAGGAAGGGAGUAAAGUUAAUACCUUUGCUCAUUGACGUUACCCGCAGAAGAAGCACCGGCUAACUCCGUGCCAGCAGCCGCGGUAAUACGGAGGGUGCAAGCGUUAAUCGGAAUUACUGGGCGUAAAGCGCACGCAGGCGGUUUGUUAAGUCAGAUGUGAAAUCCCCGGGCUCAACCUGGGAACUGGAUCUGAUACUGGCAAGCUUGAGUCUCGUAGAGGGGGGUAGAAUUCCAGGUGUAGCGGUGAAAUGCGUAGAGAUCUGGAGGAAUACCGGUGGCGAAGGCGGCCCCCUGGACGAAGACUGACGCUCAGGAGCGAAAGCGUGGGGAGCAAACAGG